rnacentral:lncRNA from 12 species
AGGGACUCCUGGGUGGCUCAGCGGUUGAGUGUCUGCCUUUGGCUCAGGGCGUGAUCCCAGAUCCUGGGAUCGAGUCCCACAUCGAGCUCCCUGCAUGGAGCCUGCUUCUCCCUCUGCCUGUAUCUCUGUCUCUCUCUCUGUGUCUCUCAUGAAUAAAUAAAUACAAUCUUAAAAAAAAACUAUACUGGAAUUAAAAACAAUUUAAAAAAUUAAAAGAUAAUACUUGGACCUAAUAAAAUAUAAUACAAAUGGUACAGUCAACAUUUACAUUAGCAUUUCUCUCUGCCCUUCCCUUCCAAGGACACAUGUAGAUGGCCUAGAAUCAAGCACUUAUUUUCUAUGGCAAAAAUUUGAGGUGUAUGCUCUGAAAAAAAUUACACUAAUUGUCAGGGAAUGCCACAGAGAAACCCUCUCCUCUUUUAGAAACUUAGCAAUGCAGAUUAGGAUAUUUAGAUCUCAGAUUUAAGUGGUAAAUUUCUAGCUGGCAGUCUGCAUACCGCACAUGUUACUUUGCCAGAAUGCCCUAGUAGAGUCAGGAACCUUAGCAAAUUUGGCUCAGGUGGUGAGUAUGAAAGCUUUCACCAGAGCCCAUCAAAAAGAUACACACACUUAUUGGGAGAGGCACACACCUCUGGCUAAACUACCAGACAGCAUCUCAUUCCCCAGUUUGACCACAGCUGUAAUGAAAAAUGGUACCAAGGAGCCUGGUUUUUGUUCUUCCCAGGAAACAUCCUUUUCUACUUUGACAUCAAAACCACAUCAACAAAAUCCUGAAGCAGAACAUCAAACUCCAUCGGAGAUGGGCAUACCUGUGUAUCCUGGGGAAUACCUGAAUCAUCUCUGGCACAAUCCACAUCAUAAAUAUGAGCUCAGAACUUCUGUGCAAGAUGGAAUGAAAAAAAGAAAACUACAAACCCCUUCAGGCCACAAAUCAGGAAUUGUUUCAAUUACCUCUUUUCUUGAUGAAGCCCAGGGUAUAGGUCCUGAUGAAGCUAUAUCAGCACUUUUUCUGUUUUCCUUACAGAACAAAUUGCCAGCAGGAUUCCUGUUUAUGAGGUUUUCUCUCUUUCAUUUUGGAUCAUUUAAAUUACUAUUUAUUGGAUCAGAGCAAGAUGGCGGAAGAGCAGGGUCUCCAAAUCACCUGUCUCCACCAAAUUAUCUAGAAAACCUUCCAAUCAUCCUGAAAAUCUAUGAAUUCGGCCUGAGAAUUAAAAAGAGACCAGCUGGAAUGCUACAGUGAGAAGAGUUCGCGCUUCUAUCAAGGUAGGAAGACGGGGAAAAAGAAGUAAAGGAACAAAGGCCUCCAAGGGGGAGGGGCCCCGCGAGGAGCCGGGCUGAGGCCGGGGCGAGUGUCCCCAGGACAGGAGAGCCCCGACCCGGAGGAGCAGAAGCUGCACCGACCUUCCCGGGGGAAAGGGGCUCGUGGGGAGGUGGAGCAGGACCCAGGAGGGCGGGGAUGCCCUCGGGCUCCCGGGGACAGUAACAGAGCAACUGCGCGCCCAAGAGAGUGCGCCGAGCUCCCUAAGGGCUGCAGCGCGCACGGCGGGACCCGGAGCAGCUCGGGGGGCUCGGGCGGCGGCUCCGCGGAGGGGGCUGCGGGGCGGGAGGAGCUCGGGGGGCUCGGGCAGAGGAAGAGGCUCCGUGCAGAGGGGGCUGCGCGGUUCCAGGAGCAGCUGAAGGGGCUCGGGCGGCGGCUCCGCGGAGGGGGCUGCGCGGCCCGGGAGCGCGAAUCCAACAGCGCAGGCUCCGGAGCACAGGGCGCCGGGACACAGCCCAGGAUCCCGCCUCCCCCGGGACAGGCAGAGGCCGGGAGGGCCCAGGACAGCGAGGACGCUCCUGCCCAGCUGAGCAGAUCAGCGGCCCCGCCCCGGAGCCUCCAGGCCCUGCAGACGGAGAGCUCCGGAGCUACUGCAGGGGCUGACUCCAGGGCUCCAGAGCUGGCCCCACCACUGGGGCUGUUGCUCCUGGGGCCUCACGGGGUAAACAACCCCCACUGAGCCCUGCACCAGGCAGGGGCACAGCAGCUCCCCCAACUGCUAACACCUGAAAAUCAGCACAACAGGCCCCUCCCCCAGAACACCAGCUAGACAGACCAGUUCCAGGGGAAGUCAAGGGACUUAAAGUACACAGAAUCAGAAGAUAUUCCGCGGUGGUUCCUUUUUUGUUUUGUUUUGUUUUGUUUUGUUUUGUUUUGCUUUGCUUUUUGAUUUGUUUCCUUCCCCCACCCCCUUUUUUUUCUCCUUUCUUUUUCUUUCUCUUUUUUUUUUUUUCCGUUUUUUUUCUUCCCUUUUUUUUCUCUUUCUCUUUUCUUUCCUUCUUUCUCUCCUCUCUUUUUCUCUUUUUCCCAAUACAACUUGCUUUUGGCCACUCUGCACUGAGCAAAAUGACUAGAAGGAAAACCUCACCUCAAAAGAAAGAAUCAGAAACAGCCCUCUCUCCCACAGAGUUACAAAAUCUGGAUUACAAUUCAAUGUCAGAAAGCCAAUUCAGAAGCACUAUUAUACAGCUACUGGUGGCUCUAGAAAAAAGUAUAAAGGACUCAAGAGACAUGACUGCAGAAUUUAGAGCUAAUCAGGCAGAAAUGAAAAAUCAAUUGAAUGAGAUGCAAUCCAAACUAGAAGUCCUAACGACGAGGGUUAACGAGGUGGAAGAACGAGUGAGUGACAUAGAAGACAAGUUGAUAGCAAAGAGGGAAACUGAGGAAAAAAGAGACAAACAAUUAAAAGACCAUGAGGAAGGGAAAUAAACGACAGCCUGAGAAAGAAAAACCUACGUUU